CCUACGGGGGGCUGCAGUAAGGAAUAUUGGUCAAUGGACGCAAGUCUGAACCAGCCAUGCCGCGUGGAGGAUGAAGGUCCUCUGGAUUGUAAACUUCUUUUAUUUGGGAAGAAACUCCCGAUUUCCAUCGGGAUUGACGGUACCAGAUGAAUAAGCACCGGCUAACACCGUGCCAGCAGCCGCGGUAAUACGGAGGGUGCAAGCGUUAUCGGGAUUCACGGGGUUGUAGGGGUGCGUGUAUGGGAAGGGAGAAAUGUCCUGGCUUAACCCGUAAACUGCCAUUGAUACUAUUUGUCUUGAAUACUCUGGAGGUGAGCGGAAUAUGUCAUGUAGCGGUGAAAUGCUUAGAUAUGACAUAGAACACCCAGUGCGAAGGCAGCUCACUACGGAAAUAUUGACGCUGAGGCACGAAAGCGUGGGGAUCAAACAGGAUUAGAUACCCUGGUAGUC
rnacentral:rRNA from 1 species